rnacentral:rRNA from 1 species
GGAAUAUUGCACAAUGGGCGCAAGCCUGAUGCAGCGACGCCGCGUGAGGGAUGACGGCCUUCGGGUUGUAAACCUCUUUCAGUAGGGAAGAAGCGUAAGUGACGGUACCUGCAGAAGAAGCGCCGGCUAACUACGUGCCAGCAGCCGCGGUAAUACGUAGGGCGCAAGCGUUAUCCGGAAUUAUUGGGCGUAAAGAGCUCGUAGGCGGUUUGUCGCGUCUGCCGUGAAAGUCCGGGGCUCAACUCCGGAUCUGCGGUGGGUACGGGCAGACUAGAGUGAUGUAGGGGAGACUGGAAUUCCUGGUGUAGCGGUGAAAUGCGCAGAUAUCAGGAGGAACACCGAUGGCGAAGGCAGGUCUCUGGGCAUUAACUGACGCUGAGGAGCGAAAGCAUGGGGAGCGAACAGGAUUAGAUACCCUGG